GUAAGGAAUAUUGGUCAAUGGACGCAAGUCUGAUCCAGCCAUGCCGCGUGAAGGAUUAAGGUCCUCUGGAUUGUAAACUUCUUUUAUAAGGGACGAAAAAAGGCUUUUCUAAGUCGUCUGACGGUACCUUAUGAAUAAGCACCGGCUAACUCCGUGCCAGCAGCCGCGGUAAUACGGAGGGUGCAAGCGUUAUCCGGAUUCACUGGGUUUAAAGGGUGCGUAGGCGGGCAGGUAAGUCAGUGGUGAAAUCCUAGAGCUUAACUCUAGAACUGCCAUUGAUACUAUCUGUCUUGAAUAUUGUGGAGGUAAGCGGAAUAUGUCAUGUAGCGGUGAAAUGCUUAGAUAUGACAUAGAACACCUAUUGCGAAGGCAGCUUACUACGCAUAUAUUGACGCUGAGGCACGAAAGCGUGGGGAUCAAACAGGAUUAGAAACCCCAGUAGUCC
rnacentral:rRNA from 1 species